AGUGGUGGUUAGCCACUGUAACCCAAAACAGCAGGACGCACUUUUGAAGUAUUCCACACUUUUCAUUUAUUUAACUUCGUCCACGKAAAGCCAGAUCUCCAYGGUACUAAGCAUUAUAUUUCCAUACAUGAGAAAAGUAACGUUAGUUUACCCCUCUGCACCUCAUCAUCACCUAUGUUCUCUUCUACAACAAAAUGGAAGACUAGAUCUUCUYCUGUACAAUAGUGCAACAACAAAAGGAAYAGGCGCCCCCUUGUGGYGAUACCUACUCAUCUCUAGGAMCCAACAGCAUAAUGACUGUUACAAYCUGCUCUGAUCUUAUGACUGARGUUCGGUUAAUGUUGCUCAUUUUUAGGGAGCGGUACUUAAAUUCCUUYCUGUCUUGUUGGCCUCUUCACAGGCAGGUAUGGAGCUGCUAGUGAGAGUGGAUCCAAAUAAACCAUUUAUUGCAUCGUCUCUAUAGAACUUCAAGGAGAUCGGCUCAACUGUUCAGGUUGCUGUGUUGAGGGGCAAAAAAAAAUUCUGGUUGCUAUGAAUACGUAUGUGGAAGAUUCUACAGGUCAGGACAGGAUGACUGGGUCAGCCUCUGAUGUGGUAAUCACUGUCUGAGCUGGCACCGAUAACACACUCAGCUGGAGCACAAACAACCCCUGAACACACACACUCAGAUACACGGAGAGCAGAAUUCCUGCCUUUGAUGGUAGUGUGAUGUCACACAUUGUGACAUUACACUAUACUGCACUGCACWACUGUGAAACUGUGACGUCACGUCAUGGUUUCCUUAUAAUUCAAAUUCAAAAUUGGUCCAAAGGGAAAUUAAAUGUCAUUGUAACUCUUAAUUYAGGUUYUUCAAAGARUUAUUGUAGAUUGUGAUGAUUGUUGGUAGGAAAGAUCUCUUCUAGCAGUCUGUAUUACAGCAAAUCUGAAGAAGCCUCUGACUGAAGACAUUCUGUUUUCCCAAGACAGUCUCAUGAAAAGGAUGGUUUGGGUARUCCACAAUUUUCUUGGUUUUAUGAAGAAUCCUUCUUUGCAACAUCUUCUUCAGAGGUUCCAYAGUCGUCCUCAGAACAGAACCAGCCUUCUUUAUCAGGUUGUUGAGCUUUUUUAGGUCCCUGUUUCUGAUGCUGCUGCCCCAACAGAUGAUGGCUGAAGAGACAAUGAUCUCAACAAGACUUAUAAAAGAACUACAGCAGACGAAGAACACACAGGCCAUGGCCAGUUCCACCAGCAUCAGGAUGAACAGCAGUACAUAAAACUGAGACACAGAAAUGAUGAGCAUGCAGCGGUUCUCCUUCAUGCCUCCCAGCACUCCCAGGUAACAAACGCAGGUGACGAUGGUACCGAUCA